UACGGAGGAUGCAAGCGUUAUCCGGAUUCAUUGGGUUUAAAGGGUGCGUAGGCGGAAUAAUAAGUCAGUGGUGAAAGCCUGCGGCUUAACCGUAGAAAUGCCAUUGAUACUGUUAUUCUUGAGUAUAGUUGAGGUGGGCGGAAUGUGUAAUGUAGCGGUGAAAUGCUUAGAUAUUACACAGAACACCAAUUGCGAAGGCAGCUCACUAAGCUGUUACUGACGCUGAGGCACGAAAGCGUGGGGAGCAAACAGG
rnacentral:rRNA from 1 species